rnacentral:rRNA from 1 species
CGGGACGGGUGAGUAAUGUCUGGGAAACUGCCUGAUGGAGGGGGGUAACUACUGGAAACGGUAGCUAAUACCGCAUAACGUCGCAAGACCAAAGAGGGGGACCUCGGGCCUCUUGCCAUCGGAUGUGCCCAGAUGGGAUUAGCUAGUAGGUGGGGUAACGGCUCACCUAGGCGACGAUCCCUAGCUGGCUGAGAGGAUGACCAGCCACACUGGAACUGAGACACGGUCCAG